rnacentral:lncRNA from 1 species
UAAGAAAACCCUAAAAAUUCAAGGCAACAGAAGUCUCAACAAUGACACUGUCCAUUAAAUCUUUGAGGUCUUUUGAGUUUUUCUCUUUGUUAAAACAAUCCUUGAGAGUUCAUAAGAUGAAAAUGAGCUAAAUUUGGUCUGGUAUUCAAGUACCCACUGAUAGAUUGCUGGUUUAAGUUAGAGUUUGAGCUGGUCUUCUUCGAUUUUCUUGGUUGAUUUUACUUGCUGGGUUUUGUGACUCUGCUGUUUUGCUGCUGACCUUCUUCCAUUAUUCUUUUCCAUUUUCAAGUAUUUCUCAACCUCUAAAUGAGUGAAUGUUUUGGUUGAGCAUGUAAGCUGAAACACUAGUGGAAUACAGGCUUUGGAAGUUUAAAUUAUGUUCUGAUGCU